rnacentral:rRNA from 1 species
UACAGAGGUCUCAAGCGUUGUUCGGAUUCAUUGGGCGUAAAGGGUGCGUAGGCGGCGCGGUAAGUCAGGUGUGAAAUCUUGGAGCUUAACUCCGAAACUGCAUUCGAUACUGCCGUGCUUGAGGACUGGAGAGGAGACUGGAAUUUACGGUGUAGCGGUGAAAUGCGUAGAUAUCGUAAGGAAGACCAGUGGCGAAGGCGGGUCUCUGGACAGUUCCUGACGCUGAGGCACGAAGGCCAGGGGAGCAAACGGG